rnacentral:lncRNA from 1 species
AAUAAACACACACAAUUCCAGAAGAAAAGAAUGUGUGACAAGAAUACCUGUGACAUAUUGCAAAGGAUUAACAGAAAGCGGAUAAUAAAAGAUAAUAUCACCUGAAUCACCUUUCAGGAGAACAAUGAAGAGGAAGUACUUGAAAUCUGCAGGGAAUCCAGUGGUUAUCAAGCCACUCUGCCAGCCCACAGACCAGAGAACGUUACAACAGAUGCCAGGGGAACAUCCCUACAGGAGCGACUGUGGCGUCUAAGGUUCACUCACAUCCAGAGGUGCUUCUCUCCAGAAGGAGAAGGAACAUG